rnacentral:rRNA from 1 species
UACAGAGGUCCCAAGCGUUGUUCGGAUUCACUGGGCGUAAAGGGUGCGUAGGUGGUGAGGUAAGUCGGAUGUGAAAUCUCCGAGCUCAACUCGGAAAUGGCAUUGGAAACUACCUUGCUCGAGGGUUGGAGGGGGGACUGGAAUGCUUGGUGUAGCAGUGAAAUGCGUAGAGAUCGGGAGGAACAUCUGUGGCGAAGGCGACUACCUGGACCAGCACUGACACUGAGGCACGAAAGCGUGGGGAGCAAACAGG